AUUGAACGCUGGCGGCAGGCCUAACACAUGCAAGUCGAGCGAGCGGCGGACGGGUGAGUAAUGUAUGGGGACUGCCCGAUAGAGGGGGAGAAAACCUGGAAACGGUAGCUAAUACCGCAUACUAUCGGAUAACCCAUAUGGGAUUUGCUAGUAGGUGGGGGAAUGGCUCACCUAGGCGACGAUCCCUAGCUGGUCUGAGAGGAUGAUCAGCCACACUGGGACUGAGACACGGCCCGUACUCCUACGGCGGCAGCAGUGGGGAAUAUUGCACAAUGGGCGCAAGCCUGAUGCAGCCAUGCCGCGUGUAUGAAGAAGGCCCUAGGGUUGUAAAGUACUUUCAGUCGGGAGGCGUUCCCGGCAGAAGAAGCACCGGCUAACUCCGUGCCAGCAGCCGCGGUAAUAC
rnacentral:rRNA from 1 species